rnacentral:rRNA from 1 species
UCGAGCACGCGCGUGUGGCAUAUCAAUAAGCGGAGGAAAAGAAACUAACUAGGAUUCCCUCAGUAACGGCGAGUGAAGCGGGAAGAGCUCAAAUUUGAAAUCUUCAAGGUUUUACCUUGACGAAUUGUAGUUUAAAGAAGUGUUUUCUGUUGGUGUUUUGGUAAAAGUUCUUUGGAAUAGGACAUCAUAGAGGGUGAGAAUCCCGUAUUUGACCAUUACUUCCAGCGUUGUGAUACACUUUCAAAGAGUCGGAUUGUUUGGGAAUGCAGUCCAAAAUGGGUGGUAAAUUUCAUCUAAAGCUAAAUACUGGCGAGAGACCGAUAGCGAACAAGUACCGUGAGGGAAAGAUGAAAAGAACUUUGAAAAGAGAGUUAAACAGUACGUGAAAUUGUCAAAAGGGAAGCGUUUGACACCAGUGUUGUUUUUCCGAAAAUCAAUUACGAAUGUUUUGUUUUUGAGGAGUUAUGACUUCAUCGGCUUGCUCCUUUCUUUAUGAAACUUUCUUAAUGCACUUUUCGGUUAACAAGUCAACAUCAAUUUCUUUUGUUGUAAAAGGGUAUGAGGAAGGUGGCCUUCUUUUCGGAGAAAGUGUUUAUAGCCUUGUGCCUCUGCAAUCGGAGAGAUUGAGGACAGCAGCGUGGACUCCUUCUGGGGUUAGAUACACUUGUGCUAAGCUAUAGCCUUGUAUAGACAACUUGUUGACUAUGCUCAGUCAUGUAGCUUACUCGCUGAUGCUAUUCUACCUACGCUUAGGAUGUUGAGUCAUCACACAUCUCU